UGGGUUUGACAUGCACUAGACGCGUCUAGUGCAUGUCAAACCCAGGUAAGGUUCUUCGCGUUGCAUCGAAUUAAUCCACAUGCUCCGCCGCUUGUGCGGGCCCCCGUCAAUUCCUUUGAGUUUUAGCCUUGCGGCCGUACUCCCCAGGCGGGGCACUUAAUGCGUUAGCUGCGGCACAGAGACCGUGGAAUGGCCCCCACACCUAGUGCCCACCGUUUACGGCGUGGACUAC
rnacentral:misc_RNA from 1 species